AUUGAACGCUGGCGGCAUGCCUUACACAUGCAAGUCGAACGGCAGCACGGACUUCGGUCUGGUGGCGAGUGGCGAACGGGUGAGUAAUGUAUCGGAACGUACCUUUCAGUGGGAGAUAACGUAGCGAAAGUUACGCUAAUACCGCAUACGUUCUGAGGAAGAAAGCAGGGGAUCGUAAGACCUUGCGCUAUUAGAUGAGCUUGCGUCCGAUUAGCUAGUUGGUGGGGUAAAGGCCUACCAAGGCGACGAUCGGUAACUGGUCUGAGAGGAUGAUCAGUCACACUGGAACUGAGACACGGUCCAGACUCCUACGGGAGGCAGCAGUGGGGAAUAUUGGACAAGUGGGGGCAACCCUGAUCCAGCCAUGCCGCGUGAGUGAAGAAGGCC
rnacentral:rRNA from 1 species